ensembl:ncRNA T19A5.12 ncRNA
CCAUCUCUCGAUAUUUCCCGUCCAUCGGGGGGCCGCUGUCACACCGGCAACAGCAGCACACCGUGUUGUUCAAACAUUCCGAAACUGUGGUGGUCUGUGCGGGAAGGAAAGAAGCGGGAUAGGCUAGGAAACCCAAGUGUAGCGAUUUUGGAGCAUCAAUACUCGAUUUGUUCAUGUGGAAUCAGA